UGACCUCCUGGCAAUGGGCAAGGAAACACCUGAUUGGUGGUGUUGCUCUUAUAUCAAUCAGGGCCAAAGCAGACAUGCAGUCCUUCGUUCAUCCUUGCUUGAUGUCUGUCUUGGUGGCCAGAGCUGUUUUCAUACCUUAGGAACAUUA
rnacentral:snoRNA from 1 species